rfam:Salmo salar isolate Sally breed double haploid chromosome ssa03, whole genome shotgun sequence.
UUUUAAAAAGGGGGUUAAGUCGCUCUGGAUAAGAGCGUCUGCUAAAUGACUUAAA